CCUCCAGGACCGAGAGCUCACCUGCUGGGAGGAGGUGGCCCAGAGUGGGGAGAUCCCCCCAUCUUGCUGCAACUUCCCCGUGGCUGUGUGCCGGGACAAGAUGUUUGUAUUCUCUGGGCAAAGCGGAGCCAAAAUAACCAACAACCUCUUCCAGUUUGAAUUCAAGGACAAGACGUGAGUACUCUGGCCAGUGGGGUGGAGGGAGGACGGUCAGUUCCCUCGAAUCCUUCUGAAUAUGAAGAACGCCCCUUGCACCUGGUGGCCAUGGUAACCAUCCUUCUGAGCUCUGCAAACAGCAGGAGGUUACAGCCCGGAGCAGGGAUGUGCGGUGCCCCUGGCAGGUCCCCAGGAUAUGGCUACAGCUUAGCAAGAUAAGGCCUGGCGAGGAGGCCCCUGGCUAGGCCUUCCUCUGAAUGUGAAGGACGUCCCCUUCCUCAUGAAUAGCUUGGUCAGUGCCACCAGUAACAGAUGUGGCCUGCAUAGAUCUCAAAUAAUGGCAGAAGACCAGAGGGGCCUGCAGGUCCUGAGAGGUCUGGCCCAUGCUGCCCCGGGCUGCUGGCCAGCCCUUGAUCCCUGCAAUGGGGCUUCAGGAGAGGGCACAAGGAGUGUGAGCUGCAGGUGGACACGCAUCCCAACUGAACACCUGCUCCGGGGCUCCCCACCACCCCCGCAGCGGCGCUACGGGCAUACCAUGGUGGCCUUUGACCGCCACCUCUAUGUGUUUGGGGGUGCGGCCGACAACACGCUGCCCAACGAGCUGCACUGCUAUGACGUGGACUUCCAGACCUGGGAGGUCGUCCAGCCCAGCUCCGACAGCGAGGUUGGUGGGGCUGAAGUGCCCGAGCGAGCCUGUGCUUCCGAGGAGGUGCCCACCCUGACUUAUGAGGAGCGGGUUGGCUUCAAGAAGUCCCGAGAUGUGUUCGGCCUGGACUUUGGCACCACCUCAGCCAAGCAGCCCACCCAGCCUGCCUCAGAGCUGCCCAGCGGGAGGCUCUUCCACGCAGCUGCUGUCAUCUCGGACGCCAUGUACA
rnacentral:sRNA from 1 species